UGAGAAUUCCUAUUCUAGAGCUCAAACUUGAAUGUGUACCAGAAUCAGCUGGAAACCUUGUUAAAACACAGAUUGCCCAGGGUCACUUCCUGUGACUUUGAUUCAUUAGGACUAGAGUGUAAGACUAUUUCUAACCAUUUCCCAGAUGAUACAGCUGUGGCUAGUUAGGGGACCCCACCUUGAAAACCACUGUCUUGUGGCACAGUUAUUUUUGCUAUUUAACUCUGGCAACAGUAAUUUUUCAAACAAAAAUUUUAUUAAUAAUGUGAUAAGUUUGAGAGGACCAUGUGUUAUAUAGUUGAAGUAUGAGAACUGGAAUUUCAAAAUGAAAACCGACACCUUAGUUUAAAUCUUCCUCAGCCCUUACUGGAAAGUCAUUCUGUGUCUCUGAAUCUCAGAUUCAUCAUCUGUAGAAAGGGAAUUAUCCUAUAUGAUUAGCUACCUUGUAUAAGUAACACUUUAACUAAUUUUCAGUUAAUAAACACUACUUUGACUCCACCUCUUUCCUCAUACACACUUCACUGAAAAAAAAAUUAUACUAAAUAUAGUGUAUGGAUCCUUUUAAUUAAAAAAAGCUCUAAAAAUUAAGGCAAAAGCCACUGCAGGAUACUAUGUUCCAGACAGCCACAUAAAGAAAUCAUUUUAAUCUUCUUGGCCAAUUCUUGAAUAGUCCUUAACCAGUACGGUGGGCCCUGCAUUCUUAUUGGAUAGACUACAUCUUGGAUCUUUUUAACCCCUUCUUGGAAUACACAAAUUCUGGAUUUACUUUAGAAUUAACCUUAACUUUUGAGAUUCUAGUAAUUUGAGGAAGAACUAGGAACAUAUCCAUUAUAAUUAUUUCAGACUGAACUGAAAACAUUUAUAUCUAUCUUAUUGAACUUUCUGGUUUACUUUUGAUGAUUUAUGAGAAAUAAACAGGACUUCACUUGAGAGUUCACGUGAAAGCUUUGCCAGUAAGACACAUCAGUCAAUAGGCGCUUGCUUCUCAAGACAGACAUGUUACACAAUGUUCUUCACUACAUUUUCCUACUGGAAGGAUGUGUAAUGUAUGUACCACUUCUGUCAUUAAGGGUAUGGAUCUUGCUUAGCAUGACAUUUUGUGGGAUCCUAGUUGUGUGGUAUAUUUACAGGCAUCUAAACGAAUGAAUAACAUCUGAUGAGUUCAAAGCACACACAGUAAUGGUACUAUGGACAUCCUUCUGAAUAAACUACAGAAACAAAUCCACAUUCUGUGGUAAUGCUUCCAUCUGCCCUAUGAUAUUCCUUAUUGUAGAAUAUCAUACAGUGGUGGUGUCACAAAUGUUAUGUCUCUAGAGCAUCAUGUAACCUUGGGAGCAGAAAUAUCUGAAGAACCAAAAAAGAGCAAAGGCUAUAAUUAAAAAUAAGCCCCAAGAAAUAGUUUCCAUGUGGUUGCGAGAAGCCCUUGAGCACAGCUGGAAAAUUUCAGGCUGAAAUAUGUUGGAACAAUAGUUUACAGAGGAAAGUAGCUGGGUUUGUGGUUAUACUUGGAAGUGAAAUUUCCUUGCUUGGUCAUAAUAGCAAACUAGCUAUAAAGUUUGGAAAAAUAUUUCCUAAAGGAGAUUGUCAAUCCCUGAAUUACCAAGAGAAAUAUAGUAGAUGAUUUCUUACAUGAGAGUAUGGGCUUAUACUCACAUUAAGUAUAGUUUAUUACAUACAAAUGAAAUUAAGUUUCUAGGUAUAAAGAAAAGUACAGAUUUACUUAACAAAAG
rnacentral:lncRNA from 1 species